rnacentral:rRNA from 1 species
CUGCUCAAUGAUUUUUUAAAUUGCUGUGGUAUUUUGACUAUACAAAGGUAUUGAAAUAAGGCUUUAAUUGAGCGCUAAAAGAAUGGAAAUACAAGAAAACUCUUUAUUUACUUUAAAAAUUAAAGUUAUUUUUAUUUGUGAAGAAACAAUAAUUUAUAUUAGGGACAAGAAGACCCUAUGAAUUUUUAAUAAAAAGUUAUAUUGAAAUAUGAAACUUUUUAUUUUAAUUGGGGAGAUUUAACUAAAUAUUAAAAACUUUUUUAAAAAAAAAUAUGAACCGUUAUUAACGGACACUUGGAAAAAAUACUCUAGGGAUAACAGCGUAAUAAUUUUUGAUAGUUCUUAUAGACAAAAUAGUUUGCGACCUCGAUGUUGGAUUAGGAUAUUUUUUUAAUGAAGAAGUUAAAAAAAAAAGUUUGUUCAACUUUUAAUGUCCUACUUGAUCUGAGUUCAGACCGG